UACGUAGGGGGCUAGCGUUGUCCGGAAUCAUUGGGCGUAAAGCGCGCGUAGGCGGCCAGAUAAGUCCGGUGUGAAAACUAGAGGCUUAACCUCUAGACGUCGAUGGAAACUGUUUGGCUAGAGUCCGGAAGAGGAGAAUGGAAUUCCUGGUGUAGCGGUGAAAUUCGUAGAUAUUAGGAAGAACACCAGUGGCGAAGGCGGCUCACUGGCCCGGUACUGACGCUGAGGCGCGAAAGCGUGGGGAGCAAACAGG
rnacentral:rRNA from 1 species